rnacentral:rRNA from 1 species
CAGCAGCCGCGGGAAUACAGAGGGUGCAAGCGUUAAUCGGAAUUACUGGGCGUAAAGCGCGCGUAGGUGGUUCGCCAAGUUGGAUGUGAAAUCCUCGGGCUCAACCUGGGAACUGCAUCCAAAACUGGCGAGCUAGAGUAUGGUAGUGGGUGGUGGAAUUUCCUGUGUAGCGGUGAAAUGCGUAGAUAUAGGAAGGAACAUCAGUGGCGAAGGCGACCACCUGGACUGAUACUGACACUGAGGUGCGAAAGCGUGGGGAGCAAACAGGAUUAGAUACCCGUGUAGUCCCUGUCUCUUAUAA